UACGUAGGGUGCUAACGUUGUUCGGAAUUAUUGGGCGUAAAGCGCGUGUAGGUGGUUGUGCAAGUUGGAUGUGAAAUCCCUGGGCUUAACCGAGGAAGUGCAUCCAAAACUACAUAACUAGAGGACGGUAGAGAAAGGUGGAAUUCCUAGUGUAGAGGUGAAAUUCGUAGAUAUUAGGAGGAAUACCGGUGGCGAAGGCGGCCUUUUGGGCCGUUCCUGACACUGAGACGCGAAAGCGUGGGGAGCAAACAGG
rnacentral:rRNA from 1 species